GACGAACGCUGGCGGCGUGCCUAAUACAUGCAAGUAGAACGCUGAAGAGAGGAGCUUGCUCUUCUUGGAUGAGUUGCGAACGGGUGAGUAACGCGUAGGUAACCUGCCUGGUAGCGGGGGAUAACUAUUGGAAACGAUAGCUAAUACCGCAUAAUAGUAGAUGUUGCAUGACAUUUGCUUAAAAGGUGCAAUUGCAUCACUACCAGAUGGACCUGCGUUGUAUUAGCUAGUUGGUGAGGUAACGGCUCACCAAGGCGACGAUACAUAGCCGACCUGAGAGGGUGAUCGGCCACACUGGGACUGAGACACGGCCCAGACUCCUACGGGAGGCAGCAGUAGGGAAUCUUCGGCAAUGGACGGAAGUCUGACCGAGCAACGCCGCGUGAGUGAAGAAGGUUUUCGGAUCGUAAAGCUCUGUUGUAAGAGAAGAACGAGUGUGAGAGUGGAAAGUUCACACUGUGACGGUAUCUUACCAGAAAGGGACGGCUAACUACGUGCCAGCAGCCGCGGUAAUACGUAGGUCCCGAGCGUUGUCCGGAUUUAUUGGGCGUAAAGCGAGCGCAGGCGGUUAGAUAAGUCUGAAGUUAAAGGCUGUGGCUUAACCAUAGUACGCUUUGGAAACUGUUUAACUUGAGUGCAAGAGGGGAGAGUGGAAUUCCAUGUGUAGCGGUGAAAUGCGUAGAUAUAUGGAGGAACACCGGUGGCGAAAGCGGCUCUCUGGCUUGUAACUGACGCUGAGGCUCGAAAGCGUGGGGAGCAAACA
rnacentral:rRNA from 1 species